rnacentral:rRNA from 1 species
UGGAAAUUUGAGAGGAGCUGUCCUUAGUACGAGAGGACCGGGAUGGACUUACCGCUGGUGUACCAGUUGUCUCGCCAGAGGCAUCGCUGGGUAGCUAUGUAGGGAAGGGAUAAACGCUGAAAGCAUCUAAGUGUGAAGCCCACCUCAAGAUGAGAUUUCCCAUUUCUUUAAGAAAGUAAGAUCCCUGAGAGAUGAUCAGGUAGAUAGGUCAGAAGUGGAAGGCCAGUGAUGGUUGGAGCGGACUGAUACUAAUCGAUCGAGGACUUAACCAC